CACAUACUCCCUCCGUUCCGAAUUACUUGUCUUGGAUUUGUCUAGAUACGGAUGUAUCUAGACUCAUUUUAGUGCUAGAUACCUCCGUAUCUAGACAAAUCUAAGACAAGUAAUUCGGAACGGAGGGAGUAUAUA
rnacentral:pre_miRNA from 1 species